rnacentral:rRNA from 2 species
AGGAUGAACGCCGGCGGUGUGCCUAAUACAUGCAAGUCGAACGCGUUGGCCCAAUUGAUUGAUGGUGCUUGCACCUGAUUGAUUUUGGUCGCCAACGAGUGGCGGACGGGUGAGUAACACGUAGGUAACCUGCCCAGAAGCGGGGGACAACAUUUGGAAACAGAUGCUAAUACCGCAUAACAGCGUUGUUCGCAUGAACAACGCUUAAAAGAUGGCUUCUCGCUAUCACUUCUGGAUGGACCUGCGGUGCAUUAGCUUGUUGGUGGGGUAAUGGCCUACCAAGGCGAUGAUGCAUAGCCGAGUUGAGAGACUGAUCGGCCACAAUGGGACUGAGACACGGCCCAUACUCCUACGGGAGGCAGCAGUAGGGAAUCUUCCACAAUGGGCGCAAGCCUGAUGGAGCAACACCGCGUGAGUGAAGAAGGGUUUCGGCUCGUAAAGCUCUGUUGUUAAAGAAGAACACGUAUGAGAGUAACUGUUCAUACGUUGACGGUAUUUAACCAGAAAGUCACGGCUAACUACGUGCCAGCAGCCGCGGUAAUACGUAGGUGGCAAGCGUUAUCCGGAUUUAUUGGGCGUAAAGAGAGUGCAGGCGGUUUUCUAAGUCUGAUGUGAAAGCCUUCGGCUUAACCGGAGAAGUGCAUCGGAAACUGGAUAACUUGAGUGCAGAAGAGGGUAGUGGAACUCCAUGUGUAGCGGUGGAAUGCGUAGAUAUAUGGAAGAACACCAGUGGCGAAGGCGGCUACC